GUAUUGAUUGCGUGUGACCGCAAAGAUAACAUUCUACACUGUAUCAAGUUUUGUGUGAAAACGUGAGCUCCUUUUGCAAAAGAAGACCCACGCGGUGAUGCACAAAGGGGUGAGAUGGAUGUGUGAGGGCACUCGGGCGUGCACAACCUUUGAAGGUCAGCGACAGCCCUCGCACCUCGGUUGUACGAUAAUGAUCCUUCCGCAGGUUCACCUACGGAAA
rnacentral:misc_RNA from 1 species